UUAAGCGACUAAGCGUACACGGUGGAUGCCCUGGCAGUCAGAGGCGAUGAAGGACGUGCUAAUCUGCGAAAAGCGUCGGUAAGGUGAUAUGAACCGUUAUAGCCGGCGAUGUCCGAAUGGGGAAACCCAGUGCAAUUCGUUGCACUAUCGUUAACUGAAUACAUAGGUUAACGAGGCGAACCGGGGGAACUGAAACAUCUAAGUACCCCGAGGAAAAGAAAUCAACCGAGAUUCCCCCAGUAGCGGCGAGCGAACGGGGAGCAGCCCGGAGUCUGAAUCAGCUUGUGUGUUAGUGGAAGCGUCUGGAAAGUCGCAGGGUACAGGGUGAUACUCCCGUACACUAAAACGCACAGGCUGUGAACUCGAAGAGUAGGGCGGGACACGUGGUAUCCUGUCUGAAUAUGGGGGGACCAUCCUCCAAGGCUAAAUACUCCUGACUGACCGAUAGUGAACCAGUACCGUGAGGGAAAGGCGAAAAGAACCCCGGCGAGGGGAGUGAAAAAGAACCUGAAACCGUGUACGUACAAGCAGUAGGAGCCCACUAGUUGGGUGACUGCGUACCUUUUGUAUAAUGGGUCAGCGACUUAUAUUCUGUAGCAAGGUUAACCGUAUAGGGGAGCCGCAGGGAAACCGAGUCUUAACUGGGCGUUAAGUUGCAGGGUAUAGACCCGAAACCCGGUGAUCUAGCCAUGGGCAGGUUGAAGGUUGGGUAACACUAACUGGAGGACCGAACCGACUAAUGUUGAAAAAUUAGCGGAUGACUUGUGGCUGGGGGUGAAAGGCCAAUCAAACCGGGAGAUAGCUGGUUCUCCCCGAAAGCUAUUUAGGUAGCGCCUCGUGAACUCAUCUUCGGGGGUAGAGCACUGUUUCGGCUAGGGGGUCAUCCCGACUUACCAACCCGAUGCAAACUACGAAUACCGAAGAAUGUUAUCACGGGAGACACACGGCGGGUGCUAACGUCCGUCGUGAAGAGGGAAACAACCCAGACCGCCAGCUAAGGUCCCAAAGUCAUGGUUAAGUGGGAAACGAUGUGGGAAGGCCCAGACAGCCAGGAUGUUGGCUUAGAAGCAGCCAUCAUUUAAAGAAAGCGUAAUAGCUCACUGGUCGAGUCGGCCUGCGCGGAAGAUGUAACGGGGCUAAACCAUGCACCGAAGCUGCGGCAGCGACGCUUAUGCGUUGUUGGGUAGGGGAGCGUUCUGUAAGCCGUUGAAGGUGGCCUGUGAGGGUUGCUGGAGGUAUCAGAAGUGCGAAUGCUGACAUAAGUAACGAUAAUGCGGGUGAAAAACCCGCACGCCGGAAGACCAAGGGUUCCUGUCCAACGUUAAUCGGGGCAGGGUGAGUCGACCCCUAAGGCGAGGCCGAAAGGCGUAGUCGAUGGGAAACAGGUUAAUAUUCCUGUACUUGGUGUUACUGCGAAGGGGGGACGGAGAAGGCUAUGUUGGCCGGGCGACGGUUGUCCCGGUUUAAGCAUGUAGGCGGAUGUUCCAGGUAAAUCCGGAACGUUAUUAACGCUGAGGUGUGAUGACGAGGCACUACGGUGCUGAAGUGACAAAUGCCCUGCUUCCAGGAAAAGCCUCUAAGCAUCAGGUAACAUCAAAUCGUACCCCAAACCGACACAGGUGGUCAGGUAGAGAAUACCAAGGCGCUUGAGAGAACUCGGGUGAAGGAACUAGGCAAAAUGGUGCCGUAACUUCGGGAGAAGGCACGCUGAUGGUAGGUGAAGUGACUUGCUCGUGGAGCUGAAAUCAGUCGAAGAUACCAGCUGGCUGCAACUGUUUAUUAAAAACACAGCACUGUGCAAACACGAAAGUGGACGUAUACGGUGUGACGCCUGCCCGGUGCCGGAAGGUUAAUUGAUGGGGUUAUCCUCGCGGAGAAGCUCUUGAUCGAAGCCCCGGUAAACGGCGGCCGUAACUAUAACGGUCCUAAGGUAGCGAAAUUCCUUGUCGGGUAAGUUCCGACCUGCACGAAUGGCGUAAUGAUGGCCAGGCUGUCUCCACCCGAGACUCAGUGAAAUUGAACUCGCUGUGAAGAUGCAGUGUACCCGCGGCAAGACGGAAAGACCCCGUGAACCUUUACUAUAGCUUGACACUGAACACUGGUCCUUGAUGUGUAGGAUAGGUGGGAGGCUUUGAAGUGUGGACGCCAGUCUGCAUGGAGCCGUCCUUGAAAUACCACCCUUUAAUGGCUGGUGUUCUAACGUGGGCCCGUGAUCGGGGUUGCGGACAGUGUCUGGUGGGUAGUUUGACUGGGGCGGUCUCCUCCUAAAGAGUAACGGAGGAGCACGAAGGUCAGCUAAUCCUGGUCGGACAUCAGGAGGUUAGUGCAAUGGCAUAAGCUGGCUUGACUGCGAGCGUGACGGCGCGAGCAGGUGCGAAAGCAGGUCAUAGUGAUCCGGUGGUUCUGAAUGGAAGGGCCAUCGCUCAACGGAUAAAAGGUACUCCGGGGAUAACAGGCUGAUACCGCCCAAGAGUUCAUAUCGACGGCGGUGUUUGGCACCUCGAUGUCGGCUCAUCACAUCCUGGGGCUGAAGUAGGUCCCAAGGGUAUGGCUGUUCGCCAUUUAAAGUGGUACGCGAGCUGGGUUUAGAACGUCGUGAGACAGUUCGGUCCCUAUCUGCCGUGGGCGCUGGAGAAUUGAGGGGGGCUGCUCCUAGUACGAGAGGACCGGAGUGGACGCAUCACUGGUGUUCGGGUUGUCAUGCCAAUGGCAUUGCCCGGUAGCUAAAUGCGGAAGAGAUAAGUGCUGAAAGCAUCUAAGCACGAAACUUGCCCCGAGAUGAGUUCUCCCUGACUCCUUGAGAGUCCUGAAGGAACGUUGAAGACGACGACGUUGAUAGGCCGGGUGUGUAAGCGCAGCGAUGCGUUGAGCUAACCGGUACUAAUGAACCGUGAGGCUUAACCUU
rnacentral:rRNA from 1 species